CGGCGACAUAAAACCGAACUAAAGUCACGUUUAAACGCAAAAAAACACGAAUAAGAAAUUUGCAAUCCUGCGGUCCCUUUAUUAAAAUGGUUAUCGGUGCGAGCUAGCUUCCUUCUCCCCAUUCACGGUCCUGUGGAGGCUCUCACGUUUCAGCUUUUCCUAUCUGAGGAGCUAUAUAUACACACACAUUUAUAUUCCUCCAUAGGCUGAACACAAACCAGACGCCACCACCCCAACACAGCUCCUGUCAACGCCUGAAGGGUGAGACAGAUUUAAGACUAAGAAUAGGGCUGAGGAUCCAUUAAUGCCAUUUAAAUCCAAGUAGCCCUUCCAAGAGUACAGUAUGUGUGUCUUUCUAAUGGGCAAACACAGUCAUUUCACAUUUCAUUACACAGGAGGCUGGUGAGCAUGCUUGAACUCCAGGAAGGCUUUUACUUUGAUAGGUUAUUAGCAUGUAUCACUGGAUUAAAGUGGUGUCGAUUUUAGGACGAUGAAUAAUGAUGAUAAAACUGGGGGUCUGCCUACUUCAUCUGCCACCACUGCACCAACACACUCCAUCUGGCUGGCUAGUGAGUAAUAUCCAUGCUAUGCAGCAUUUUCAGCAUCCUCUCUGACAAACACUGUGAGAAUUGACAAUGACAUGAGUUGCAGGAAUGUUAAAAUGUGGGAAAUGACAGGCUGGAUAGCUCAAAACUGACUCCGAGCAGGCACAGAGGUGACAUUGGAAUGACUUUACAAUGCUAAAGUGUGAUCUUUAUCAGCCGCCUCCCUCCAGCUAUAGCCUUAAGUGUGUAUGCGUGCCCUCGGGCAAGAAAGGCUCGCUGCCCGCCGCCCGCCCCUUCUGGGAGAUAUUUACACCACUGUGUCUUGUGUUGUGUACACCAACUACAGCUAAAGGUCUUGAGGGAGGAGAAGGAGAAGUACAAAAUGAUGAAUCCAGGCAAGCGUCACAGGGAAGGUUCCAGAAAACAGUCAUCGCUGGCUGCGGUGCGGCUGUGGAAUAGCCCUGGCCCCUCCACUCCUACACAGGCUUUCCAGGAAUACAUUGCACAGCAGUCAAAUGCUGGACCGCAGUGCACAAACACACACAAAUGGCUACACACAAGCACACACACUCUCUACUGUGGCUCCAGUGACUUGAGUGCAUGUAUGAGAGGAGACGCCAGCUUUAGAAAGACUAUGUUGCUGCAUGUGCCAAGUUCCCCAGCAUAGACAGAGGUGAUACUGACAGAAAACACACACUCACUCACUCUCUCUCUCUUUCACACACACACACACACACACACACACACACACACACACACACACACACACAACACUCCCUGCUGUUAACACACAAAAAAUUUAAUCUUAUGAAACUGCUCACAUGUGUGUAUUACAGAAUUUAAUGUACAUAGGGUUUUGCUGUCAAGAACCAAGCACGUACUGUUUUUCUCUCUCACACAAGUGGGUGCACCCUAAAUAUGUUUCAGCAAACAAACACACACACACACACACACACACACACAGUUAGAAGUAUAUGUGAGCUGGGGCCAGGCCAAGUGGUGCAGCAUGAAAGGGCCUAUAUAUGUGGCCAGGCUGGGUGACGCCAGGAGUUGGCCAGUCUGUCUGUGUGUCUUUCACAUACAGCCUGGCCUAUGGUUAGAGGACACUGCUAUAACUCACCUUUUACACCCUGUCCGUUCCUGUAGGCUUCUGCUACCUGUCUCUGUCUGACUGUAUCACCACAAAGCUAAUACUGGUCCUCCAUUGUAUGUAGGUGCUCAUUUGUCUAGUGUGAAAUAACAGGAGCAAAAUGACAGCGACGUUUACAUUUUCUCAAAUGUCUCCUGAAUGCCCAGCAAAAGCAAAUGUUAUUGUCGGGGUAUUUCUGGGUUCUGCACUCAGUCUGUGUUAUCUUUCUAUAUCUAGACAGAUCUGGUUUCAGUUCAAAUUCCACCUGAUGGAGGAAAUGAAAUGCAACCUUACCCAUGCAAUGAUCACUGCUCAGGCAUUUUGAGAAGGUGAAGCUCAGUGCCAGGUUUGAAAAACCAUUUCAUUUGUAAAAGGCAAAGCGACGCUCUUUUUGUUUUUAUUUCCCUAGUUAUUAUGCUGCCGUGAGAGGUCGCUGAAGACAUGUCCUUUAGAAGUGAAACGAUUCGUCGAUGA